rnacentral:rRNA from 1 species
AGUGAACGCUGGCGGCGUGGAUUAGGCAUGCAAGUCGAGCGAUCUCGCAAGAGAUAGCGGCAAACGGGUGAGGAAUACAUAGGUAAUCUUCCCUUAAAUCAGGAAUAGCCUUAUGAAAGUAGGGGUAAUGUCUGAUAGCAUCAUGAGGGCGCAUGUUCUUAUGAUUAAAGACAGGGACCUUCGGGCCGUCGUCGUUUAGGGUAGUGAGCCGAUGUCUUA